rnacentral:lncRNA from 1 species
UGAAUAUUUUGAGUGCCCUACAGCAGGUCAACCCCUGCAUGAGCUGAUGAAAUUGGCAAAAAUGAAGCUAGUCAUUGUGUUGGGGUGGUGGGAUUCUGGAUGACAGAGUUCCCCCCUCAGCAACCGCCACCCCAUUCUCCCAACUUUCUAUGUUAUUGCAUCGCCUUUACAAUGGUAGAAAAGAGAGACCAGGAGGAACGUAACUGAGCACUUACUAUGUGUGAGAUGUUUCCAUUUAUCCUUUCCCUAAUUCUGCAGGCUCUACACGGCAAGCCCAUGUCUGUGUUGCUUGCUGCUGUUUUCCCAGUGCCCAGCACCGUACCUGGCAUGUCGUUGGUCCUCAAAACAUACUUGUUUAGCAGUCAAAGAAAUGAUUUGUGCAAAGUUUACAAAUGAGGAAAUUGAGGUUCAAAGAGGUUAUGUGACUUGUUCAAUAUCACCUAGCUAGUGGGACGCAGGACCAGGAUCAUUGGACUUCAGGUCCUGAGGAAGGUCUUUCUACUCAUGCCUGUCCCUCUGCCUCCUCACAUUCCGACACCCUCUUUGUAAAGCUGUCUUAUUUUACAGGCAUCUGAUCAGGCGGCCUGCAAGAAGAGUGCGCCCCCUUAGCCAGUAUGGCCACGCUUCCUCCCUUAGGGGCUGCUGGGUGUGCCCCUCAUCUUCUCAACCCCCUGGGGACCCCUGGAGGAUCUGGAGCACACCCUCCAGCUGGGGGAUUUGCCCAGCAGGUCCAGAAGUAUUUCUUCUGUUCUCUUGGUUUUAUCACUGCAAAGGUAAUAUAACAACAGUGGAGGAAGUUUGAGAAGAAAACAUGGGGAAGGGGAGAUACCUGUCCCCCAAAACCCCACCACUCCCGACACAAGAAGGAAUUUCAUUUUUGCUUGUUCUUUUCCUGACUUUGUCCAUGAG